CCCUUAGAUGUUCUGGGCCGCACGCGUGCUACACUGAGUGGAUCAGCGGGUCAGGUUGCGCGAAAGCGUUUCCUAAUCUUUAAAUCCGCUCGUGAUGGGGAUUGACGGUUGCAAUUUUCUGUCAUGAACGAGGAAUACCUUGUAAGCGCGGGUCAUCAUCCCGCGCUGAAUACGUCCCUGCCCUUUGUACACACCGCCCGUCGCUCCUACCGUUUGAGUGGUCCGGUGAGGCUUUGGGAUCUGAGCGGAAAGAGCGUUUCGCUGUUUCUGCUCGGAAAACUCAGUCGAACCUUAUCAUUUAGAGGAAGGAGAAGUCGUAACA
rnacentral:rRNA from 1 species